ACGAAACGCUGGCGGCGUGGAUAAGAACAUGCAAGUCGAACGCUGAUUACGUUUGCAGCAAUGUAGCGUAGUCGGAGUGGCGCAAGGGUGCGUAACACGUGGGGUAAUUUGCCGUGAAGUCGGGGGAUAACUUGCUGAAAGGCGAGCUAAUACCGGAUGUGAUCAUCGGGAGGCAUCUUUUGAUGAUUGAAGUUGGGGACCGUAAGGCCUGACGCUUCACGAUAAGGCCCGCGGCCUAUCAGCUAGUUGGUGAGGUAAACGGCUCACCAAGGCUAAGACGGGUAGCUGGUCUGAGAGGACGACCAGCCACACUGGAACUGAGACACGGUCCAGACACCUACGGGUGGCAGCAAGUCGAGAAUUUUUCUCAAUGGGCGAAAGCCUGAAGGAGCGACGCCGCGUUGGGGGAUGAAUGGCUUCGGCCCGUAAACCCCCUGUCAUUCGCGAACAAUGCGCAUUAUUUUAAAAAGAUGAUGCGUUGAUAGUAGGCGGAAAGAGGAAGGGACGGCUAACUCUGUGCCAGCAGCCGCGGGGUAAUACAGAGGUCCCAAGCGUUGUUCGGAUUCACUGGGCCGUAAGGGUUGCGUAGGUGGCGAGGGUUAAGUCGGAUGUGAAAUCUCCAAGCUCAACUUGGAAAUGGCAUUGGAAACUAACCUUGCUAGAGGUUUUGAGGGGGACUGGAAUUCUCGGUUUGUAGCAGUUGAAAUGCGUAGAUAUCGAGAGGAACACAGUGGCGAAGGCCGAGGUCCCCUGGAAAACACCUGACACUGAGGCACGAAAGCUAGGGGGAGCAAACAGGAUUAGAUACCCUGGUAGUCCCUAGCUGUAAAACGGUGCUUGCUUGCUUGCUGUAAAAGGAAUCGACCCCUUUUUGUGGCGAAGCCAACGCGUUAAGCAAGCCGCCUGGGAAGUACGGUCGCAAAGAUUAAAACUCAAAGAAAUAUUGACGGGGGGCCUGCACAAGCGGUGGAGUAUGUGGCUUAAUUCGAUGCAACGCGAAGAAACCUUACCUGGCCUUGACAUGUACGUAGUAGAAGGAUGAAAGUCUGACGAGGGUAGCAAUACCAGCGGUACACAGGUUGCUGCAUGGCUGUUCGUCAGCUCGUUGUCGUGAGAUGUUGGGGUUAAGUCCCGCAACGAGCGCAACCCCUAUGUCCUGUUGCUAUCUGAACGAGAGUUCGGAGCACUCUGGACAGACUGCCUCGCUUUAAACGAGGAGGAAGGUGGGGGGAUGACGUCAAGUCAGUAUGGCCCUUACGGGCCAGGGCUGCACACGUACUACAAUGCCCCGGCACAGAGGGAAGGCAAGACUGUAUAAAGUGGAGCAAAUCUCUAAAAACCGGGCCCAGUUCAGAUUGUCGUCUGCAACUCGACGGCAUGAAGCUGGAAUCGCUAGUAAUGGCGCAUCAGCUACGGCGCCCGUGAAUACGUUCCCAGGCCUUUGUACACACCGCCCGUCACAUCAUGAAAGCCGCUUGGUACCCGAAGUCGCCGUGCCAACCGCAAGGAGGCAGGGUUGCCGAAGGUUAUGGGUGGUGAUUGGGAUG
rnacentral:rRNA from 1 species